CUUGUGGACACUGGCAUGAUGAGGAGUUUAAUCUGCUUCUGUUGAUAAAAUCCCCCUGCUCUGCCUAAGGGUGAAGUAGUGAAGCAGGUACUUAUGUUGCUGCUGUUGCUCUCCCUUUUUUAAAAUGUUUGUUAUUGUUGUGGUUUUACUCUACUACUAUAAUAGUUUUAUGUUUGACUACAAAGCACACUGCACACAGUGGACUGCAGUGUACAGUGCUUU